rnacentral:tRNA from 1 species
CGGGGUGUAGCUUAGUCCGGUUAAAGCGCGCGUCUGGGGGGCGCGAGAGCGGAGGUUCAAAUCCUCUCACCCCGA